AUAUUGCGCAAUGGGCGAAAGCCUGACGCAGCAACGCCGCGUGAUCGAUGAAGCUUCAAGGAGUGUAAAGAUCUGUCCUAAGGGAAGAAUGGUUCCAAGUCGAAUAGGCUUGGUUCGUGACGGUACCUUAGAAGAAAGCGCCGGCUAACUUCGUGCCAGCAGCCGCGGUAAUACGAGGGGCGCAAGCGUUGUCCGGAUUCAUUGGGUGUAAAGGGUGCGCAGGUGGAUUUGUAAGUUGGAAUUUAAAUCCCGCAGCUUAACUGCGGACCUGGUUUCAAAACUGCAGAUCUUGAGUUCGAAAGAGGGGAGUGGAAUUCCUAGUGUAGCGGUGGAAUGCGUAGAUAUUAGGAGGAACACCAGUGGCGAAGGCGGCUCUCUGGUUCGAUACUGACACUAAGGCACGAAAGCGUGGGGAGCAAACAGGAUUAGAUACCCUCGUAGUC
rnacentral:rRNA from 1 species